GCCGUGAUGUGUGUCGCAGCGCUUCUGUUUGUAUUUCUGUUCACCCUUUGUCUGCUGCUGGUUGUCAACAAACGAAGAUCGAGCAGACAGCCACAGAUGUCGACUGACUAUGUGACAAUGAUGCCUGGUGUGAGACCUGAACCGGAACACCGCUGCAGAUGUUCGUUUCCGGACCGGAUAGAUCUUUCAGAUUUUCCACCCCCGCCUCCUGACCUUUGCUUCCACUUCACAUCAAAGCAACGGGAGUCCACUGUCACCCUUGGUGUUGAAGAAUACGUAGACGUGGAUGUAUCAGAGCGGCUCUGCCAGUACCAACAUCUAGAUCUGGGUCGGUCAGAGGAGCACGUCUAUCACAGUCUUCAUGGAAACACUGGCCCUAAAGACAGAGCCAGAGUCAAAGAGUAGUUCAUGCUCACAAGUUCAGAGUCAGAUUUCAGUAGCUACAGAAUCAGAGAUGAUUACUUUGAGACAACAAAGGAGGCUGAACUUCCCCUAACGCUUCAAAUGAAUGGGCAGAAUUGCACAGUUGAAUUUACAAUAAAGAUCCAAAUUACAUUUAAAUUAAAAUUAUGCACUUAAUUUUAUGGCUAUGUUGUUCUGGUCAGCUGUUUAUUGUUUUGCUUUCUGACGCAAAUUCCCCGAUACAUUCUGAUAUCAGUAGCCCACACUUUUGAAUUCCCACUGACAUCGAGCAUCAGUGGGUUGUCUAUGAGGCAGCACCAAGCUGUUUUUUUUCACUGCAGGGAUGCAUGGUGGUCAUUGGCUAAAUACAUAAAAUCAUGCCACCCAAAACCCUCUCACAGAUGUUCAGCAUUUCUGGGAGUGAAUGGGUCAGUCAGCAGGCCAGGACGCUGGACUUUGGACGUUGGAUUGGAUGAACUGUUCAACAGAGCAGGUAUUGGUCCGAAAGGAUGAAGCCGUUUUGACUGACAGCGAUGUUGAAACAUACUGGCAUCGGAGCACGUUGGAGCUCAAACCCAUGCGGAUAUCAAUGGAAGAGAGGAUGUUUGCCAAAGUGCUGUCCAAACUGUGUCUCUGUGUUUGUUUAAAAGACACAGCUGGACAGUGCAAUGCCUCAGCUUUACUUUGGUGAAACAAUAUGGUCUACAUCAGCUGAAGAGAAACAGGGCCAAGUCAUACACCUGCAAGUGUGUGUUGCUGUGGUUUUAUGGCAUAGAUGAAGCAUAACAGCCUCAGUUAAGCAUUCCUUUUUUUUAAAAAAUUGCUUUGCUGUAAUACGACAAGUUUCAUGAUGGAGCUGUAAGAUGAACUUCAUCUGUUUUAAAGACCAGCAGCUGCCACUGCACAGAAUGCAACCAAAUUAAAGGAAAAUGUGUCACAAUUUUAAAGGAAGUUUGAGAAGACUGAAAAAAGAAAACCCAAAUAUAUUCAAGUUUCCAUCCACUACAGUCAAAUAUUAAGAGCUAUUUUUUUCAUCAUUGGGUUAAAAUAUUUACCCAUUAAAAUGGUGUUUCACUCAGUAAUAUACAAGUUAUUGAUUGAGGAGCUGAUAAAUGUAUGAGAUGUAAUAUUUGUUUGUGCACAUCAUUAUACAUGGUGGCAUUUCAUUACUUUUUUCCAUCUAUUAUAGCAUUUUUGUCUGUUUCUUGCACUGAAACAAAGAAUCCUGCUGUCUCCUUAUUAGUCCACACAUGGAGACACACAGUUAUUUACUAAAUCUGUUUCUAUUCCAUUUAUUUUCAUUGCCUUAGCAACAAUAGUGCAAAUAAAAAGAGCUAUAUAGAAA
ensembl:lncRNA